UCCGUCCCGGUGUAGUGGAUAACACCUUCACCUUCUAAUUUGGUGAAAGGUCAGGAUGUCUGGUGUUCGAAUCCCCUUGGUGGAU